rnacentral:rRNA from 1 species
GAUGAACGCUGGCGGCGUGCUUAACACAUGCAAGUCGAGCGGACACGUCCAAGUUUGCUUCGGAACUCGAGUGGCGAACGGGUGAGUAACACGUCGGUGAUCUGCCCCGCACUUCGGGAUACGCUUGGGCAACUGGGUCCAAUACCGGAUAGGGUCACCUCUCGGAGGAUGUGGUGGCAAGUUUUUUCGGUGUGGGAUGAGCUCGCGGCCUACCAGCUUGUUGGGGGGGUAAUGGCCUACCAAGGCGUCGACGGGUAGCCGGCCUGGGAGGGUGUACGGCCACAUUGCGACUGAGAUACGGCCCGGACUCCUACGGGAGGCGGCAGUGGGGAAGAGUGCACUAUGGGCGCAGGCCUGGUGCAGCGACGCCGCGUGGGGGAUGACGGCCAUCGGGUUGUGUACUCCUGUCGCUAGGUACGGAGCGCAAGUGACGGUACCGAAAGAAGAAGCACCGGCUAACUACGUG